GCGGGAGAGCUGGGUGAAUGCAGUGGGAGAUGGAGCGGCAAGGCCCAGCCUUGGUCCCUUCCCUAGGAAGCAGCCUGAAAGAAGGUGAGGAAGCAGAACGGGAAGACAAGCUACUCCCAGUGUGAGCUGGAGCUUGACUGGAAGCAGAGUCCUGGCAAACCAGCUCCCAGCCAUUCAUGGCCUUCCCCUCAUGCCAAGCACAGAGGGGCUGUUGUAAUGGAUGGUGAUGUAUGGAAGUGCUGGUAAGAGACUGAUCUCCAUUGCCUGGGCCCAGGUUACAACAUUUAACACCCUUGUGACAUGACAGCAUCCAGCUGUGUGAAAUGCUUCAGCUCCAUAGACCUACACCUCAGGGUGAAUUCAAUGAGUUGUGCUGCCUCGUUCUAAAUGGGCCGACUCUGCUGACUCUGAGAUGGAGGACUGGUGUGAGGUCCUCUCUUCUUUGCUCCUCUAGCAGCCUCCCCAUCCCGUUGAUCAGCUUGGCAGAAUUCACAGCUCUGUUUGUCAGCGGGAGACCGAGCUUGGAUCCUGGGGGUCGACCUCGGGCCCUUCACUAAAGGAGUCGUUCUGUUGGCAGCACCCCUGGGAUCCUAUAUUAUAUCAGGAGGGUGGAAGAAAAGCUGCUGUUAGCAGGAGGAAAUCCAGGCCUGAGGUUUGGUUUGACUUGAGGGGAAGUCGUGACAUUGAUCAGCAGCUAAAGGAAUCUCAGAAACAAAGGGUCCCUCUGCUCCCUUUCAGCAAUGGAAAAUUAUACCAUGUAUCCUUAUGGCUCCCGCACCCCCAGAAAGGGCUGAUUUUCUUUGCAUGGUCCUGCUUUGCACAGACCUACCAAGUGUGGGAAUCAUGCUUUGCAGCAAGGAUGAGAACUGACUUUCUUCCUUUAAGGAUUUCUCUCUUCAGGGCCUCACUCAAUUUGAAUUGAGAGAGAGAGGGACUGUAGCAAUGGGGUGGGGGAUGUGACUAACCCUGCUUGACCAACUGACUGGUGUGACCUGAUCACAGGGUUCCUGAGUUCUAAUCCUAGCUUUGGCACUGACUCCAUGGGUGGCCUUGAGCAAGUCACUUCACCCCUUUGGGUCUCAGUAAAAUUGGUAUUUAUAAAUAAUUCUUCCCUCCCUCACAGACAGGGUUGCUGUGAGAACUGAUUUCAUUAAUACUUGGAAAGGAGACUGAAGAUGUUAAGUAUUGGGCCAAAUAUAUGGCCCCCUAGGAACUGUGAACAUUUCAGCACCAACAGUGUACCCAACGCUGUACAAGACAGACUCUGCCCCAAAGAGCUUAGGUCAUGCAUGUCUCUAUGCAGCACACCGUGGCUAAUUAGAACUGCAUUGUGACAGCAGAGAUAGAACUGCAAACCUCAGGCUCCAAAAGCUCUGCCCCUUGAGCUAAAGGAGAAUCUCCAUUAACCAUUUGUAGUACAGGGUCUAUGAAACUCAGUUGAGCAGUUCUGAUUCCAUCCACUAAAUGAAGUUGGUGCAUGUUCUCACUAACCAGUUCAUCAUAUUAAUAUUGUUUCCUUUUUAUGAGCUCUUCUGAACCUCUCUCCAGGAGAGCUGCAUGAUUUAAGAGAAGGUUUCCUCCAUAACAACCCACCUCUCCCUCCUGCUGCCUGAUCCUGGGGGUUUCCUUAACAGUUUUUAUAUAAAUGCUCUCCAGACUUGGAAAAAAAAAAAGAGCUUGGUUUUCUGCCUGGGGUUCUGCAAACUCUCCUGACAAUGCUGACUUUGUGACAUUGUAACCAGUUCCAUACUUUAUAAAUGCAGCUUUGAAUUCACUGCGUGCAGGAGGGCAAGCUGAAGAUGAAGGAAAAAUUCUUAUCCAGAUCCAAAUAAUUGCAGUGAAGAAACACAAUAAAUGGUACGUAAGGCAUUGUAAUCAAGUCGCUAGUGCAUAUGGAUACUAGGCUGCCAUCUGCUAGACAGAUUCAGAACUGCUCAACUGUGUAGCAUAUGGCCUAUACUGUACACUUUUGAUGGUGAUUCUCCCUUAGUUUGAGUAAUAGGAGGCUAUGGUUUUUGUAUCUGAGUUCCAUCUCUGAUGCCCCCAUGAAGUUCUGAGUAGCCGCAGAGUGCAGAAUGGUUGCAUUUGUGAGCCAUGGAUUUGUUGCAGUAUAACUGUUUCCCUAGCUGGAUAAAUAUUCCAAUAUUUUUUCCCCUUCUUCUGCAAGGAUUUUGUGCUGGUAGAGGCACCCUGGAGUCUGAAACCCAGCCCACUAUUUAGUCCCAGACUAGAUAGAGCAUGGUCACUGCCUCCUCUGAUUUCCCCUUGCAAGGACUCCCUUUGUGACAGAGCUGCUGUUCUCCGUGUCCUGUUCACUCUUGGCCUUUCUGAACCAGAUGCCUGGAGGUGUGAGGCUCCAUAUCCCAUCACUGAAAAAUCUUCACAGUGGAGAUAAUU